rfam:Rhizoctonia solani AG-1 IA unplaced genomic scaffold scaffold47, whole genome shotgun sequence.
GGGGGAAUAUGAUAAUGGUAAUCUAUUGUGUUUGCAUCACAAAGAUGAUAGUUCGAUUCUAUCUUUCUCCA